UACGUAGGGUGCAAGCGUUGUCCGGAUUUAUUGGGUUUAAAGGGUGCGUAGGUGGCCUGUUAAGUCCGGGGUGAAAGCCCACAGCUCAACUGUGGAACUGCCCUGGAUACUGGCGAGCUUGAGUCCAGACGAGGUUGGCGGAAUGGAAGCUGUAGCGGUGAAAUGCAUAGAUAGCUUCCAGAACCCCGAUUGCGUAGGCAGCUGACUAGGCUGGUACUGACACUGAGGCACGAAAGCGUGGGGAGCGAACAGG
rnacentral:rRNA from 1 species